rnacentral:rRNA from 2 species
GUAGGUGGCAAGCGUUGUCCGGGAAUUAUUGGGCGUAAAGGGCUCGCAGGCGGUUUCUUAAGUCUGAUGUGAAAGCCCCCGGCUCAACCGGGGAGGGUCAUUGGAAACUGGGGAACUUGAGUGCAGAAGAGGAGAGUGGAAUUCCACGUGUAGCGGUGAAAUGCGUAGAGAUGUGGAGGAACACCAGUGGCGAAGGCGACUCUCUGGUCUGUAACUGACGCUGAGGAGCGAAAGCGUGGGGAGCGAACAGGAUUAGAUACCCUGGUAGUCCACGCCGUAAACGAUGAGUGCUAAGUGUUAGGGGGUUUCCGCCCCUUAGUGCUGCAGCUAACGCAUUAAGCACUCCGCCUGGGGAGUACGGUCGCAAGACUGAAACUCAAAGGAAUUGACGGGGGCCCGCACAAGCGGUGGAGCAUGUGGUUUAAUUCGAAGCAACGCG